rnacentral:rRNA from 14 species
UGAGGGUUUUAGUAUUAGUUCCAACUAAGAUAUGUGCCAGCAGUUGCGGUUAGACAUAGGGAGCAAACAUUAAUCAUUAGGUAUAAAGGAAUCGCAGAAUGAAUGUUAAAAUAGCAUUUAGAAUACAGUAAGAGAUAAUUGAAUUAGUAAAGGAAGGAUGAAAUUUAAUAAUAUUACUACGACAAUCAAUAGUGAAAACAAUAAUCAUAACUGUAUUGACAUUGAGGAUUGAAAGUUAGAGUAGCAAAAUGGAUUAGAUACCCAAGUAGUUCUAACUGUAAACUAUGGAUACUU